rnacentral:lncRNA from 1 species
AGGAGACAGAUCUUCUCAGGGGCCAAGUCACCAGACUCCAGGCUGACCUCUUGGAGCUUCGAGAAGCCUCUGAGCAAACACAGACCAAAUUCAAAAGUGAAAAGCAGAGCCGGAGGCAGCUGGAGCUCAAGGUAACAUCCCUGGAGGAAGAGCUGACUGACCUCCGAGCUGAGAAGGAGUCCCUUGAAAAGAACCUCUCAGAGAGGAAGAAGAAAUCAGCCCAGGAGCGCUGCCAGGCAGAGGAGGAGAUGGACGAGAUUCGCAAGUCUCACCAGGAGGAACUGGACAGACUUCGGCAGCUCUUGAAAAAGGCUCGGGUGUCCACAGACCAAGCAGCUGCAGAGCAGCUAUCUCUUGCACAGGCUGAGCUGAAGAGCCAGUGGGAAGCAAAGUGUGAGCAUCUUUUGGCCACUGCAAAGGAUGAACACCUGCAGCAGUACCAAGAAGUGUGUGCGCAGAGGGAUGCCUACCAGCAGAAGCUGUCUCACGUUCAAGAUGAGUGCUUAGCUCUCCAGGCCCAGAUAGCAGCCUUCACUCAACAGAAUGAACACAUGCAGCGACUGGAGAAGAGUAAGUCCCAGGCACCUGCAGGCAGAGCUGCUGCUGACCCCUCAGAGAAGGUCAAGAAGAUCAUGAACCAGGUGUUCCAGUCACUGAGGGGAGAGUUUGAGCUGGAGGAAUCUUAUGAUGGCAGGACCAUUCUGAGGACCAUCAUGCACACAAUCAAGAUGGUGACUCUGCAGCUGUUGAACCAUCAGGAGGAAGAGCAGGGAGAGUGCAGCAGUGAGGAGGAAAAGGAGGAGAAGCCU